CUCAAUGGCGGCUGUGUGCGGGCGGACUUCGGUCCGGCCGGGUUCGGGGUUACCGGUUUCUCACUCCGCACAUAGCUGCCACCCUU
rnacentral:antisense_RNA from 1 species